rnacentral:rRNA from 1 species
UUUUCCCAAGUUUGGAAGGCCCGUAUUCCCCCUAAGAUUAAAAUUUUCUUGUGGCAAGCCUUUCGAGGCCGGCUGCCCUCGGCUAAUCAGAUUCGUAAGAGAAAUGGGCCGGGCUCCCAGUUCUGUGCUCUUUGCGGUGAUGUGGAAGACUCGGAUCAUAUCUUUUUUCACUGUCACCUGGCUAAGCUUAUUUGGAGUUGCGUGCGGGACUGGCUUCAUGUUUCUUGGGCCCCUGCCUCCUUUGCCGAGUUGCGCAGCUUGGCUUCCAACCUCUCCGGUGUAUCUAGGCGCAUCUUUUGGGUGGGCUUGGGGGUUUUAUGCUGGUCUCUGUGGACUACUAGGAACAAAUUUACUAUCGAGCACGUGUUUCCGGCUAAACCGGCUGACUGCUUAUUUAAAUCGUGUGCUUCCUGCAGCAGUGGAAAUCAUUGA